AUUGAACGCUGGCGGCAGGCCUAACACAUGCAAGUCGAACGGUAACAGGAAACAGCUUGCUGUUUCGCUGACGAGUGGCGGACGUGUGAGUAAUGUCUGGGAAACUGCCUGAUGGAGGGGGAUAACUACUGGAAACGGUAGCUAAUACCGCAUAACGUCGCAAGACCAAAGAGGGGGACCUUCGGGCCUCUUGCCUUCGGCUGUGCCCAGAUGGGAUUAGCUAGUAGGUGGGGUAACGGCUCACCUAGGCGACGAUCCCUAGCUGGUCUGAGAGGAUGACCAGCCACACUGGAACUGAGACACGGUCCAGACUCCUACGGGAGGCAGCAGUGGGGAAUAUUGCACAAUGGGCGCAAGCCUGAUGCAGCCAUGCCGCGUGUAUGAAGAAGGCCUUCGGGUUGUAAAGUACUUUCAGCGGGGAGGAAGGGAGUAAAGUUAAUACCUUUGCUCAUUGACGUUACCCGCAGAAGAAGCACCGGCUAACUCCGUG
rnacentral:rRNA from 1 species